UCAUAACUGCCACCGGGCAGAUAAAUGCGAAAAAGCAUUUGAAGCACAUCGUUAGGUCUUUGAAGAUGUGCUCAGAUGCUUUAUUUUUU
rnacentral:ncRNA from 1 species